rnacentral:rRNA from 1 species
UACGUAGGGUGCAAGCGUUGUCCGGAAUUAUUGGGCGUAAAGAGCUCGUAGGCGGUUUGUUGCGUCGGCUGUGAGAUCCCGAGGCUCAACCUCGGGUCUGCAGUCGAUACGAGCAAACUAGAGUGUUGCAGGGGAGACUGGAAUUCCUGGUGUAGCGGUGAAAUGCGCAGAUAUCAGGAGGAACACCGGUGGCGAAGGCGGGUCUCUGGGCAUUACCUGACGCUGAGGAGCGAAAGUGUGGGGAGCGAACAGG